rnacentral:tRNA from 1 species
GGAGAGAUGGCGGAGUGGUCUAACGCGCACGCUUGGAAAGCGUGUGUACAAGCAAUUGUACCGGGAGUUCGAAUCUCCCUCUCUCCGCCA